rnacentral:rRNA from 7 species
AAAACGACUCUCGGCAACGGAUAUCUCGGCUCUCGCAUCGAUGAAGAACGUAGCGAACUGCGAUACUUGGUGUGAAUUGCAGAAUCCCGUGAACCAUCGAGUCUUUGAACGCAAGUUGCGCCCAAAGCCAUUAGGCCGAGGGCACGUCUGCCUGGGCGUCACG